rnacentral:rRNA from 1 species
GACGAACGCUGGCGGCGUGGAUUAGGCAUGCAAGUCGAACGGUAGGAUACCUUCGGGUAUCUGAGAGUGGCGAACGGGUGAGUAACACGUAGGUGAUCUACCCUCAAGAUUGGGACAACCCAGGGAAACUUGGGCUAAUACCGGAUGAAAGCAGCAGUGAUGUUGUUUGAAAGGUGGCGUAAGCUGCCGUUUGGGGAUGAGCCUGCGCUCUAUUAGUUAGUUGGCGGGGUAAAGGCCCACCAAGGCGAUGAUAGAUAGGCGGCCUUAACGGGUGGUCGCCCACACUGGGAUUGAGAUACGGCCCAGACUCCUACGGGAGGCAGCAGUCGAGAAUAGUCUACAAUGGCCGAAAGGCUGAUAGUGCGACGCCGCGUGAACGAAGAAGCCCUUCGGGGUGUAAAGUUCUUUUAUAUGUGAGCAGUGCUUUCUAUGUGUAACAGCAAUGGGGAGAGAGAUAUUAGCAUAUGAAUAAGCAACGGCUAACUCCGUGCCAGCAGCCG